GACGAACCGAGCGAACGUUGUUCGGAAUCACUGGGCUUAAAGGGCGCGUAGGCGGGCCGCCGCGUCCGGGGUGAAAUCCUCCCGCUCAACGGGAGAACGGCCUCGGAUACGGGCGGCCUGGAGGGGGGUAGGGGCGUGCGGAACUGUGGGUGGAGCGGUGAAAUGCGUUGAUAUCCACAGGAGCUCCGGUGGCGAAGGCGGCACGCUGGACCCCACCUGACGCUGAGGCGCGAAAGCGUGGGGAGCAAACAGG
rnacentral:rRNA from 1 species